CCUACGGGAGGCAGCAGUGAGGAAUAUUGGUCAAUGGACGAGAGUCUGAACCAGCCAAGUAGCGUGAAGGAUGACUGCCCUAUGGGUUGUAAACUUCUUUUAUAUGGGAAUAAACUGUUCCACGUGUGGGUUUUUGUAUGUACCAUAUGAAUAAGGAUCGGCUAACUCCGUGCCAGCAGCCGCGGUAAUACGGAGGAUCCGAGCGUUAUCCGGAUUUAUUGGGUUUAAAGGGAGCGUAGGUGGAUUGGUAAGUGAGUUGUGAAAGUUUGCGGCUCAACCGUAAAAUUGCAGGUGGAACUGGCAGUCUUGAGUACAGUAGAGGUGGGCGGAAUUCGUGGUGUAGCGGUGAAAUGCUUAGAUAUCACGAAGAACUCCGAUUGCGAAGGCAGCUCACUGGACUGCAACUGACACUGAGGCUCGAAAGUGUGGGUAUCAAACAGGAUUAGAUACCCGAGUAGUC
rnacentral:rRNA from 1 species